UACGGAGGGGGUUAGCGUUGUUCGGAAUGUCUGGGCGUAAAGCGCGCGUAGGCGGAUCAUCAAGUCGGGGGUGAAAUCCCGGGGCUCAACCCCGGAAUGGCCUUCGAGACUGGUGGUCUUGAGUUCGAGAGAGGUGAGUGGAAUUCCGAGUGUAGAGGUGAAAUUCGUAGAUAUUCGGAGGAACACCAGUGGCGAAGGCGGCUCACUGGCUCGACACUGACGCUGAGGUGCGAAAGCGUGGGGAGCAAACAGG
rnacentral:rRNA from 1 species